rnacentral:rRNA from 1 species
GAUGAACGCUGGCGGCGUGCCUAAUACAUGCAAGUCGAGCGAACGGACGAGAAGCUUGCUUCUCUGAUGUUAGCGGCGGACGGGUGAGUAACACGUGGAUAACCUACCUAUAAGACUGGGAUAACUUCGGGAAACCGGAGCUAAUACCGGAUAAUAUUUUGAACCGCAUGGUUCAAAAGUGAAAGACGGUCUUGCUGUCACUUAUAGAUGGAUCCGCGCUGCAUUAGCUAGUUGGUAAGGUAACGGCUUACCAAGGCAACGAUGCAUAGCCGACCUGAGAGGGUGAUCGGCCACACUGGAACUGAGACACGGUCCAGACUCCUACGGGAGGCAGCAGUAGGGAAUCUUCCGCAAUGGGCGAAAGCCUGACGGAGCAACGCCGCGUGAGUGAUGAAGGUCUUCGGAUCGUAAAACUCUGUUAUUAGGGAAGAACAUAUGUGUAAGUAACUGUGCACAUCUUGACGGUACCUAAUCAGAAAGCCACGGCUAACUACGUGCCAGCAGCCGCGGUAAUAUGUAGGUGGCAAGCGUUAUCCGGAAUUAUUGGGCGUAAAGCGCGCGUAGGCGGUUUUUUAAGUCUGAUGUGAAAGCCCACGGCUCAACCGUGGAGGGUCAUUGGAAACUGGAAAACUUGAGUGCAGAAGAGGAAAGUGGAAUUCCAUGUGUAGCGGUGAAAUGCGCAGAGAUAUGGAGGAACACCAGUGGCGAAGGCGACUUUCUGGUCUGUAACUGACGCUGAUGUGCGAAAGCGUGGGGAUCAAACAGGAUUAGAUACCCUGGUAGUCCACGCCGUAAACGAUGAGUGCUAAGUGUUAGGGGGUUUCCGCCCCUUAGUGCUGCAGCUAACGCAUUAAGCACUCCGCCUGGGGAGUACGACCGCAAGGUUGAAACUCAAAGGAAUUGACGGGGACCCGCACGAGCGGUGGAGCAUGUGGUUUAAUUCGAAGCAACGCGAAGAACCUUACCAAAUCUUGACAUCCUUUGACAACUCUAGAGAUAGAGCCUUCCCCUUCGGGGGACAAAGUGACAGGUGGUGCAUGGUUGUCGUCAGCUCGUGUCGUGAAAUGUUGGGUUAAGUCCCGCAACGAGCGCAACCCUUAAGCUUAGUUGCCAUCAUUAAGUUGGGCACUCUAAGUUGACUGCCGGUGACAAACCGGAGGAAGGUGGGGAUGACGUCAAAUCAUCAUGCCCCUUAUGAUUUGGGCUACACACGUGCUACAAUGGACAAUACAAAGGGCAGCGAAACCGCGAGGUCAAGCAAAUCCCAUAAAGUUGUUCUCAGUUCGGAUUGUAGUCUGCAACUCGACUACAUGAAGCUGGAAUCGCUAGUAAUCGUAGAUCAGCAUGCUACGGUGAAUACGUUCCCGGGUCU